CUUAUAUGUCCUAAGAAAAUCUUAUUGGCCUAUCCACGGCUGUAGUCAAGUUUGGAGCACAGUGAGAAAGUGCGUCCGUUGCUGCCGAGCUAAUCCACCUCCAGUGGAAUACGCAAUAGGCGACCUCCCAGCCGCACGGAUAACAGAAUCUCGGCCGUUUACCAACGUCGGAAUCGAUUAUUGCGGACCAUUCUACAUCAAGGAGCGGAAGGAUCGCAAUCUGUAAAUCUUUAUAUGUUUGCAGUUAAAGCAGUUCACAUCGAGCUGGUCAGCGACCUCACAGGCGAGGCGAGGAACAGCGAAUUACGAGAGCGAAACUUCCUAUGGUCCGACGAUCAUAAGUUUUACAGAUUGUAAGUGAAUCGUGGCACCGAUGUGGUGGUGCUUUUAACGGGAUAUUUUGUAGCUUUUGAUCACCGAUGCUGCACUGCCACGUGCAUCUACUUUUUCCUCUAUGUCUCCCUAUAAGAUCGUGUUAUAUUUCAAA
rnacentral:misc_RNA from 1 species